AUCGUCCUUUGGAAUAUGAUUUUUCAACCAUUUCCUUUUUUUCCUCUGUAAUAGGCGAUUACUCAUCUGCGCUUCUGGCUUCUGGCUUCAUCGAUUUAAUAAGUUUACUUAAAAAUCUUGGAACUGAUUGUGCUGAUGAGCAUUUCAUGGAAUACAUACGGACACUUGCAAUAGUAUCUUAAGUCUUAAGGUAUUAUUUUCUUGUAGUAUAUUUUGUGUUUAUUUUUGCAACUAUAUAAAUGUUCAUAGCGAGUACAUUACCCUUUUUUAUUGGAUUAAGUGAAAUAUAUUUGCUCAUAACAGUAAUUAGUUUCUCCACUUGCUGAAAAGUUUUAUGAACCUAUAUCCUUUAUCUAGCUUGUUUUGAUUAUUUAUCAUUUUAAUAUUACUGGUCAUCUGUGUAUAAUUUAAGAAGAUAUGAAGUUGUCAUCACAGUGAGUCUCAUUUAUUGGAGGUUGCAAAUAUCUUUGGACAGAACAACCACAUAUAAGAAAAAGUAUUCACAGGGUACAACUUGACUAGGUUCUCAGUUGAGAAGUUUUAGUAAUGGAAGAUAAAAGUAUGCAAGGACAAAGCUCCAAAAGACGUAUGAAUGCUUAUGAAAAUAGUAGAAUGUCAAGAUUCAAGAGAACCAAAAAAAAAAAUUACAAGCUUUGGGAUUGAAAAAUAUUGCUAAAUCUUUGAGAAGUCUAGCAGAGAGGGACAAAACAAAGAAAAAGAAAUCAAUGUAUACUAGCGAGAAAGAUAUAGAUGUAGAGUAUAUCCAUGGUUCUGAUGUCGAUGUCGAGCAAGAUUAUCAAGAAUUGGUGCAUCCAUCGCAUGGCCCUAUCCAUUCAUCUCGGUAG
rnacentral:lncRNA from 1 species